rnacentral:rRNA from 1 species
GAUGAACGCUGGCGGCGUGCUUAACACAUGCAAGUCGAUCGGAAAGGCUCCUGCUUGCAGGGGUACUCGAGUGGCGAACGGGUGAGUAACACGUGGGUGAUCUGCCCUGCACUUCGGGAUAAGCCUGGGAAACUGGGGCUAAUACCGGAUAGGACGAUGGUUUGGAUGCCAUUGUGGAAAGUUUUUUCGGUGUGGGAUGAGCUCGCGGCCUAUCAGCUUGUUGGUGGGGUAAUGGCCUACCAAGGCGUCGACGGGUAGCCGGCCUGGGAGGGGGUACGGCCACAUUGGGACUGAGAUACGGCCCAGACUCCUACGGGAGGCAGCAGGGGGGAAUAUUGCACAAGGGGCGCAAGCCUGAUGCAGCGACGCCGCGUGGGGGAUGACGGCCUUCGGGUUGUAAACUCCUUUCGCUAGGGACGAAGCGCAAGUGACGGUACCUGGAGAAGAAGCACCGGCUAACUACGU